GAUGAACGCUGACAGAAUGCUUAACACAUGCAAGUCUACUUGAACUUCGGUUUGGGUGGCGGACGGGUGAGUAACGCGUAAAGAACUUGCCUCACAGUUAGGGACAACAUUUGGAAACGAAUGCUAAUACCUGAUAUUAUGAUUUUAGGGCAUCCUAAGAUUAUGAAAGCUAUAUGCGCUGUGAGAGAGCUUUGCGUCCCAUUAGCUAGUUGGAGAGGUAACGGCUCACCAAGGCGAUGAUGGGUAGCCGGCCUGAGAGGGUGAACGGCCACAAGGGGACUGAGACACGGCCCUUACUCCUACGGGAGGCAGCAGUGGGGAAUAUUGGACAAUGGACCAAAAGUCUGAUCCAGCAAUUCUGUGUGCACGAUGACGUUUUUCGGAAUGUAAAGUGCUUUCCGUUGGGAAGAAAAAAAUGACGGUACCAACAGAAGAAGUGACGGCUAAAUACGUGCCAGCAGCCGCGGUAAUACGUAUGUCACAAGCGUUUAUCCGGAUUUAUUGGGCGUAAAGCGCGUCUAGGUGGUUAUGUAAGUCUGAUGUGAAAAUGCNGGGCUCAACUCUGUAUUGCGUUGGAAACUGCAUGACUAGAGUACUGGAGAGGUAAGCGGAACUACNAGUGUANAGGUGAAAUUCGUANAUAUUUGUAGGAAUGCCGAUGGGGAAGCCAGCUUACUGGACAGAUACUGACGCUAANNCGNNNAAAGNNUGGGUAGCAAACNGG
rnacentral:rRNA from 1 species